CGCACGUGGCCUCUUCGGGGCUCCCCCUCCCCCGCGACGGGGGCGGGUUCGCGCGCUCCCUUCUUCGCUCGCUCGCUCGGGGCUACAGGCGGCUCGGGCGCAGCCGCGUGCUCUGCCAGCCUGCCAAGCCGGAGCCGGGCGCACAAGAGCCUCCUCUUCCGAGUCCUUCCCCUCCUCGCUCGGCGCGUCCAGCCGCCUCCUUUUCCUCCUCCUCCUCCUCCUCCGUCGUCCUCCUGCCACCGGGCUGCCCCGGGGAUGUCGCUCGUGGCGAAGGGACCCGGGGCUCCUGCACUCGCCUGCCCCCGCCGCAGGGACCACUGAGAGAGAAGCGCCAAGGAGCUAGAGCUGGCACAAGGACCCCGAUGGCUUUCCUUUCCAGCACAGAGUGCAUGUAUCUGCACUAGAUUGUGACAUCUACUAGAAGCAACACAACCCUUUGGUGUUCCAGAGAGCCCAAAGUGACUGAGCACCACGGGGGAAGCUUGGCUGAUUCCAAAGGGUCUUGCUCCCUCGUCUCAGCUGCCGCCCUCCUGGAAGCCACCAAACCCCCACCUGCGAUUCCUUCACCAAGUUGGCACGUCAUUUGCCCAUGGCAAUCUCCGAGGAGGCACGCGGUGGCCUGCAUCUGGUGUCAACGGGACCACGCCUGUGAAAGGAGGGAACCCCAGUCAGCAUCCCAGGACGGAGAGAGCCAGGGGUCCGGGGAGACACCCAGCGGCCUGGGCCGGACCACCUCUCUGUGGCUCUGUGGACAUCCCGGCUGCCAGCAUGAUGAUGUAUUUCUGGGUAGGUCCCUGCUUUGGGCGAGUCCUGGUUGCCUCGUUUACGUGUUGUUGCUAGUUCCCAGAGUUUUGCUGGCUGUUUGGAGGUGGGUGUUGGCAAGCAAGGGGUUUUGCUACUUCCUCAUUGGCUGGUGGGAGCGGGCCUUUGCAUUUAUUUUCCUGUUCCACCCCCCUCCCCAAUUCUAGGGUUUUGCUAUGAGCUCUGGAUGGACUCUUGGUUAAUCUGUCCAGAGGAUAUUCUUCGAAGUGUUGUUGUUAGCAAGGUGAAUUCUCUGGUUUUUGUGCUUAAAAGGCCACUAAGGGGCCAGGGCCUAACUGAAGGUGUGUGGGCUCUGCAGGCUUCUCUGGCACCUUGUCUCUCCACCCUGUUCUUCUCUGGAAUCACAGCCGAUGGCAGCUGAAGCAGUAGAUCUCUGUCGGCCGGGCAAGAGCCAACUCUAUUUGUACGUAUUACUUGGGAAAGUGGAAUAUGCUGGAAUUACAGGUGAACGAUCGCCUGCUGUCCUGGGAGUGUGUCUUGUGAGUGGAGGUUAGGACAACUUACAGGAUCUUUCAGCAGCCCUGCCACUUACUUCCCUGUACCUUUCGUUAUCAUUGUGCCUGAAUUCCCGACAGAUUAGUCCGCACGGAAUGAAAUCUGAGGCCCCCUAAUUCAUUGUGUGUUCUGUUCCAAGCAGAACUCCAUGUCUUCUCCGGCUUUCUCUUCUGCACCAUUGCCCUCAUGCAAAACUGGAAUACGUGCAGUGCAAGGGGGGCAGUCUGCCACUGAAAGAAAGGUCCCGAGCAGCUGGAUUAUAUGUGGAAAGGGCCUCUCUGAGCGCUAGUCCUUUAAGCCGUCAGCAUCCUCCUGUUAAAUCUACAGGAUACGACUGAACGCUCAGCCAGGUGAAGAAGGAAACAAUUAUGAAACCCAAGAAUACACUUCAGCCUUGACUGCACGUUAUCGGGGUGAAUGAGGGCCUGGCUGGGAAUGGAGUGUAGAUUGAAGAUGAAUGGCGCUGGACCUUAGUGCCCCAGUGGCAGGUGUUAACUUGUCUUAACAUUUCCUGGGAAAGCCAACGCCUUAUUCCAAGAGCUUUGUUGGAGGUGUUUCUCUAUCUAUGCUUGGCAGUUCCAAAUUCUUAUGAGAGUACUGUGUGGAAGGAAGCUGCUGUCCUUUCCUCUUCCCCCAACUUAUUGCCCAGGCAAACUAGACUGUUGGAUUUUACAUUUCUGUGGUCCAGCUCAGUAGCAGGGUGCUUCCAGAUGAGCUGUUUAUUGAGCGUUGAUCCUGAUUUGUUUGAGGGAUGACUGUCGAAAGUGUCACCCCACACUUUCCUGUGCAUUUCCCCAUCACUUUCCUUAUUGCUAAAAGUCCGAUCUUUUGAGGAAGUGGGCUUUGCUCAAGACUCCCCAAACCGCUGUAAUU